GAAGCAACUUUCUGCAGAUAAUCCUCAGAUAACACUUUGUGCCUAUUUCUGAUGCCAGCAGUGUUAUUAUCCGAGAUGGUUCUUCGUUGAUGUCGAGUGAACGAACGACGGUUCAAUCGCAGAACCGUUGAGCACCGAGAAGAAGGUAUGUGAGUUCAACUAUGGAAGUUGUUUGGCAAUUAGCAGUGGAACACAUCAUAGACGGUACAUUGAUAAAUUGAUAUGAUAAUUUUAGUCAUUGAUUCAACACUGGUUGUUCAUUUGGAACCAUUUAUGCGUAAAUUUGAUAUUUUUUUUUUUUUUUUGUGGUUUUGA
rnacentral:lncRNA from 1 species